UAUGGUGUUAUAAAUAACGGACCAUUUGCCACCAGCCUACGUACAGAAAAACCUGCACACAGACGUAAUCCUAUCCCCGUUCAGGGAUAACCGCGGUCAGACAGGAAGGAAGAGAUAGGAGGGGGGUGGGAGUCCACCAGACAUGUGAGUGUGAUCAGAGAAGUCAGAGGAAUCUAUUCAAGCCGUUCCCCGAGGCUCCCUCUAGAUGUGAUGCAGGAAAAAGAGUAAAGAAAGACCCCAAGUCACCUAUAAGAACACCCCUCCUCCUUCCAUUAACCCCUAAGUAACACCAGCUGAACCUGUCCCUCCACAGUCAGAUUGUUCCCAUGUGUUGGGUUUGAGCCUGUGAAUGGUUUGGAUGUUGGUAUUUUAUUUUCAUAAUUUCUGGCUUCGGGUUCUCCUGCAUGUGGUAUGUAGGUUCCGGUUGGUAACAAGCUUACAAGUUUACUCCUCUUUUUCAUAUUGGUUUUUUCUUUCUUUCUUUUUUUUUUUCCUAAGAAGUUUGUUUUUGUCUGGGAUUCCGAGAUGUAGGAUUUGAUGUAGAGCUCCUUGAGAUCCAAAGGAGGGUCUUCGAGGGUUGGAUUUAGCUGCUGAGACAUGGAUUCCACUAUCCUAUCCCAUGGUUUUAUUCUGAUGCCGCCGGUGGGAGAGAGAGUUGUUUUGGGGUUUGGAAUAGGCUUGUGGCUUGCAUGGCCCGGGAGCUGCAUUAACCCUUCCUGAUCUUUGUUUGGAUUGAAGGGAGCUCUACAUCAAAACUCUGUGUUGCCUACCACUCUCUUUCAUCUCUUGUUGUUGGGUCUCCUUGGUUUCCUCUUAUUUCCUGUUGUAUGCCUUUGGUUUUUUCAAGCUUACGGCAUGUGAGAGCCUGUAGAGGAUCAGAUUCCAUGGUAAAUUCCACCUUGGUGCAAGACUUGGCAUUUUAUUCUGGUUGUGUGGGGGGCUGGAGUGAUAUUUAUGCUCACUAUCAUGGAAUCUGGUUGUGUGGGGGGCUGGAGUGAUAUUUAUUCUAGCUACUGGUAUUCUUGGUGGUGGAGCUGCCUAUUUUCCGAUGGAAUUGCAGGUGGGAUCAAUGGUGCACCUUGAAGACGCUAGCCAGGCUAAGGGGCUAAAACAAGGGAUACGUAGGCUAUGGGACGACAUUUGUUCUACUGUUUUUAGUUUUACUUAUUUGUUUUGUUAUGCUGGAAAAACAUUUAAGUUGUGACUUAAGAUUGAGAUCGAUCUCCUUGGAUCUUUUUUUUUAUCUUUUUAUUUUUUUUUCUCUAAUACAUGGAAUUGGGUUUUUGUAAGGCAAGAUCUUCUGGAAUGCUUUACGGUA